UUUUUCUCUGAGUCAUCUUUAAGGAGCCUGCGCCUGCUGACACACAGACCACUAGCCAGCCGGUCUGCACAACGGCCUGCAGACUUUCUGCUCACUCCAUUAGACCCUAGACAGAGAGCAGGAGCCUACACUCAGCCCUCAGGAGCUGAAUGGAGGCAACGGCAGGGACUAGUCUAAUUGACGGUACUGGCAUAAUGACAACUUCGGCCAUACUGUGGAACAAUUUAUUAUGCAUUAUAAGAGCACCACAGAGUAUACAGUAUGACAUACUUGUGCACGCCAUUUUAAUUUUAAGACAACCUGUGAGAUUGGUUUCCAUGGACACCGAGACCUGAUGCCUCCUUGUCGCAGCUGAGGAGGUCCUUCCUGUCUGGCUCACAUUCUCCACCACACACAGCUGACUUCUUCCUGCUGCUACAACCUCGAUGAACACAACUUCACCCUAAUACUUACUUGUUUUACGCAUCAUGAAAUAAGUGCUUUCCAUAAAGUCCCCACAAUAUCAUUUACAGUUGUAAAAAUAUUGUAUUUUUGUGAGACAUGACUCAUUGAGGCUUAGAUUGAGAAUAAUUAAAAUCUGUACAUUGAGG
rnacentral:lncRNA from 1 species